ACAAUGCUGGUCUCUUCUUGA
rnacentral:misc_RNA from 1 species